rnacentral:rRNA from 1 species
UACAGAGGGGGCAAGCGUUAUUCGGAAUUAUUGGGCGUAAAGGGCGCGUAGGCGGCCUGGCAAGUGGAUGGUGAAAUCCCUCGGCUUAACCGAGGAACUGCCAUCCAGACUGCUUGGCUUGAGACCGGGAGAGGUGAGUGGAAUUCCCAGUGUAGCGGUGAAAUGCGUAGAUAUCGUGAGGAACACCAGAGGCGAAGGCGGUUACCUGGACAAUUACUGACGCUCAGGCACGAAAGCAUGGGGAGCAAAAGGG